UACGUAGGGUGCGAGCGUUGUCCGGAAUUAUUGGGCGUAAAGAGCUUGUAGGCGGUUUGUCGCGUCUGCUGUGAAAUUUCGGGGCUCAACCCCGAACUUGCAGUGGGUACGGGCAGACUAGAGUGUGGUAGGGGAGACUGGAAUUCCUGGUGUAGCGGUGAAAUGCGCAGAUAUCAGGAGGAACACCGAUGGCGAAGGCAGGUCUCUGGGCCACUACUGACGCUGAGAAGCGAAAGCCAGGGGAGCAAACGGG
rnacentral:rRNA from 1 species